rnacentral:rRNA from 1 species
ACGAACGCUGGCGGCGUGCUUAACACCUGCAAGUCGAACGGAAAGGCCCUGCUUUUGUGGGGUGCUCGGGUGGCGAACGGGUGAGUAACACGUGAGUAACCUGCCCUUGACUUUGGGAUAACUUCAGGAAACUAGGGCUAAUACCGGAUAGGAGCUCCUGCUGCAUGGUGGGGGUUGGAAAGUUUCGGCGGUUGGGGAUGGACUCGCGGCUUAUCAGCUUGUUGGUGGGGUAGUGGCUUACCAAGGCUUUGACGGGUAGCCGGCCUGAGAGGGUGACCGGCCACAUUGGGACUGAGAUACGGCCCAGACUCCUACGGGAGGCAGCAGUGGGGAAUAUUGCACAAUGGGCGGAAGCCUGAUGCAGCAACGCCGCGUGCGGGAUGACGGCCUUCGGGUUGUAAACCGCUUUCGCCUGUGACGAAGCGUGAGUGACGGUAAUGGGUAAAGAAGCACCGGCUAACUACGUG